AUUGAACGCUGGCGGCAGGCCUAACACAUGCAAGUCGAACGAGUGGCGGACGGGUGAGGAAUAAAUCGGGAUCUGCCCGGUGGUGGGGGAUAACGAAGGGAAACGUAAGCUAAUACCGCAUACGAUUAGAUGAACCGAUAUGGGAUUAGCUGGUUGGCGGGGUAAAGGCCCACCAAGGCGACGAUCCCUAGCUGGUCUGAGAGGAUGAUCAGCCACACUGGGACUGAGACACGGUCCAGACUCCUACGGGAGGCAGCAGUGGGGAAUAUUGGACAAUGGGCGCAAGCCUGAUCCAGCCAUGCCGCGUGUGUGAAGAAGGCCUUCGGGUUGUAAAGCUCUUUUGUUGGGAAAGCGUUACCCAAAGAAGAAGCACCGGCUAACUUCGUGCCAGCAGCCGCGGUAAUUC
rnacentral:rRNA from 1 species